UUUUUCUUCUUCCAUCAAAUUCCGGCGAUUCCGGCCACCAACCGGCGUGCCACCGGUCACCAGAGGAGCGCCACCUCCCUCCGAGCACCCCAGCAGCCUUGAUUUUCCACGAUUUGGCCGGAAAACCACGGAUCGAAGCCAAAACCACUCCGGCUGCAGUUUGGGACUUUUGCCGAUUCCCGACGAUUCCGGCCACCUCCGGCCCCCAUUUCUUCGUCGAAGUUAUGAAGACGUGAGGAGGAUUUCCUUGAGGAGGGUUUGGAUCGACGGCAAGCUUAGCCGUACUUUAUCACAGUACUGUGGACCGGCAUAGGAGCGGAGGCUAGUACCACCUUUGUCAUCCAUUCUCAGUAGGUUAUUGAU
rnacentral:lncRNA from 1 species